GACACUAUACUACACCAGUGUCCGCCAGAAAAUUACGAGCGAAAAGCUUAAAACUCAAAGGACUUGGCGGUGCCCCAAACCAACUUAGAGGAGCCUGUCCUAUAAUCGAUACUCCACGAUAAACCUAACCAAUUUUAGCCCUUUCAGCCUAUAUACCGCCGUCGCCAACCUACUCCCUGAGGAAAAAACAGUAAGUAAAAAAGUUUAAUAACUAAAACGUCAGGUCAAGGUGUAGCUAAUAAAUUGGAAGAGAUGGGCUACAUUUUUUAAAAUAAAAAAUACGGCACGGAGCUGUGAAAUCAGCUCCUAAAGGAGGAUUUAACAGUAAAAUUAGCAAGAAAACUAAUUU
rnacentral:rRNA from 1 species